rnacentral:lncRNA from 1 species
UUUAUUUAGUACAUUGCAAAGUAUCGACUACAAAAUUAAUAUUUCCAAACGCAUGAAUUCCUACAAUACCCCUAAAUCGUGGACAAUAUUAUGAGUUUCCAAAUGUUCAAUCAACACCUCCAAAAACACCGAGGAACACCGUAAAAUUAAAUAAAUAAAUAAAACCCUAAAAAUCAUAAACAAAUUGAUUAUCAAGCACUAACACGAACGAUUACGGUUUUAAACAGCAACAUCUCUCAGAAAUUAUAUCACUUUCGAUAAUAUAUAAUAUAUAAAGACAAAUAUCAUCGUAAUUCGGAUAAGUAAGAAUUAAAUUGUUCGAAUUGAUCGAGGAAAAUAGAAUUAUUACCUGAUAACGACGACGAAGAAAUCGACAAUAAACCACCAGAGCGUAGAGGAAUGAACGAGAACUAAAAGUACGAUCAAAUGUAGAGAGAGAGAGAGAGAGAGAGAGAGAGAGAGAGAGAGAGAGGAUUAUUCGGAAGGUUCUGGUACUCUGGUUGCUGGGCCUCGCUGAGUCCAGAUUUUUUUGGUCCAAUUUCAUCCAAUUUAAUAUUAUGAUUUAUUUAUUGGGUAAAUUACGGCGCUCAUAUAUUAAAUUACGAAAAAAUAAUAUUAUGUUUGGAUAAUUACAAC